rnacentral:rRNA from 1 species
ACGUACCGCUGGCGGCAGGCCUAACACAUGCAAGUCGAGCGCACUCUUCGGAGUGAGCGGCGGACGGGUUAGUAACGCGUGGGAACGUACCCAGAUCUACGGAAUAGCCUCGGGAAACUGAGAGUAAUACCGUAUACGCCCUUCGGGGGAAAGAUUUAUCGGAUUUGGAUCGGCCCGCGUUAGAUUAGAUAGUUGGUGAGGUAACGGCUCACCAAGUCUACGAUCUAUAGCUGGUUUUAGAGGAUGAUCAGCAACACUGGGACUGAGACACGGCCCAGACUCCUACGGGAGGCAGCAGUGGGGAAUCUUGGACAAUGGGCGCAAGCCUGAUCCAGCCAUGCCGCGUGAGUGAUGAAGGCCUUAGGGUCGUAAAGCUCUUUCGCCAGAGAUGAUAAUGACAGUAUCUGGUAAAGAAACCCCGGCUAACUCCGUGCCAGCAGCCGCGGUAAUACGGAGGGGGUUAGCGUUGUUCGGAAUUACUGGGCGUAAAGCGCGCGUAGGCGGACCAGAAAGUUAGGGGUGAAAUCCCGGGGCUCAACCCCGGAACUGCCUCUAAAACUCCUGAUCUAGAGUUCGAGAGAGGUGAGUGGAAUUCCGAGUGUAGAGGUGAAAUUCGUAGAUAUUCGGAGGAACACCAGUGGCGAAGGCGGCUCACUGGCUCGAUACUGACCCUGAGGUGCGAAAGUGUGGGGAGCGAACAGGAUUAGAUACCCUGGU